rnacentral:rRNA from 1 species
GUAAGGAAUAUUGGUCAAUGGGCGCAAGCCUGAACCAGCCAUGCCGCGUGCAGGAAGACGGCCCUAUGGGUUGUAAACUGCUUUUGUCAGGGAAUAAACCCCCGCUCGUGAGCGGGGCUGAAGGUACCUGAAGAAUAAGCAUCGGCUAACUCCGUGCCAGCAGCCGCGGUAAUAAGGAGGAUGCAAGCGUUAUCCGGAUUCAUUGGGUUUAAAGGGUGCGCAGGCGGAUUGGUAAGUCAGGGGUGAAAUCCCACAGCUCAACUGUGGAACUGCCUUUGAUACUGUCAGUCUAGAGUAUAGUUGAAGUUGGCGGAAUGUGUCAUGUAGCGGUGAAAUGCUUAGAUAUGACACAGAACACCGAUCGCGAAGGCAGCUAGCUAAGCUAUAACUGACGCUCAUGCACGAAAGCGUGGGGAUCAAACAGGAUUAGAUACCCCAGUAGUCC